rnacentral:rRNA from 1 species
UGGGGAAUAUUGCACAAUGGGCGGAAGCCUGAUGCAGCGACGCCGCGUGAGGGAUGAAGGCCUUCGGGUUGUAAACCUCUUUCAGCAGGGACGAAGCGUGAGUGACGGUACCUGCAGAAGAAGCACCGGCUAACUACGUGCCAGCAGCCGCGGUAAUACGUAGGGUGCGAGCGUUGUCCGGAAUUACUGGGCGUAAAGAGUUCGUAGGCGGUUUGUCGCGUCGUUUGUGAAAACCCGGGGCUCAACUUCGGGCUUGCAGGCGAUACGGGCAGACUUGAGUGUUUCAGGGGAGACUGGAAUUCCUGGUGUAGCGGUGAAAUGCGCAGAUAUCAGGAGGAACACCGGUGGCGAAGGCGGGUCUCUGGGAAACAACUGACGCUGAGGAACGAAAGCGUGGGUAGCAAACAGGAUUAGAUACCCUGGUAGUCCACGCCGUAAACGGUGGGCGCUAGGUGUGGGUUCCUUCCACGGGAUCUGUGCCGUAGCUAACGCAUUAAGCGCCCCGCCUGGGGAGUACGGCCGCAAGGCUA